rnacentral:rRNA from 1 species
CUACGGGCCGCACCAGUGGGGAAUAUUGCACAAUGGAGGAAACUCUGAUGCAGCAACGCCGCGUGGAGGAUGACACUUUUCGGAGCGUAAACUCCUUUUAUAUAGGAAGAAGAUGACGGUACUAUAUGAAUAAGCGCCGGCUAACUCCGUGCCAGCAGCCGCGGUAAUACGGAGGGCGCAAGCGUUACUCGGAAUCACUGGGCGUAAAGAGCGUGUAGGCGGAUUAAAAAGUCAGAAGUGAAAUCCUAUAGCUUAACUAUAGAACUGCUUCUGAAACUCUUAAUCUAGAAUAUGGGAGAGGUAGAUGGAAUUUCUGGUGUAGGGGCAAAAUCCGUAGAGGUCAGAAGGAAUACCGAUUGCGAAGGCGAUCUACUAGAACAUUAUUGACGCUGAGACGCGAAAGCGUGGGGAGCAAACAGGAUUAGAUACCCGAGUAGUC